GAUGAAGAACGUAGCGAAACGCGAUAAGCAAUGUGAAUUGCAGAAUCCAGUGAAUCAUCGAAUCUUUGAACGCACAUUGCGCCCGCCAGCAUUCUGGCGGGCAUGCCUGUUCGAGCGUCAUUUCAACCCUCGACCUCCCCUUGGGGAGGUCGGCGUUGGGGACCGGCAGCACACCGCCGGCCCUGAAAUGGAGUGGCGGCCCGUCCGCGGCGACCUCUGCGCAGUAAUACAGCUCGCACCGGGACCCCGACGCGGCCACGCCGUAAAACACCCAACUUCUGAACGUUGACCUCGAAUCAGGUAGGACUACCCGCUGAACUUAAGCAUAUCAAUAAGCGGAGGA
rnacentral:misc_RNA from 1 species